ACGCCCCCAAUACCGUACAUAGGGAACAAACAAAAGGAAAAGAAAAGAAGCAGCGACAGCACCAACCUGCGACUCCUAUUGCUACCAGGAGGAAAUCAAGGCCCAGCUGGUUAGAGUCCAUUUAUCCACUUUCCACUGAUCAUUUCGGAACUCAUUUAUAUCUCAAGAUUUGAUGCCUAGAGAGAGUGCCUAGAAAGAGAGGAUGAAGAUGAGGAGGCUAGAGAGGAGGCUGAUAGGGCAGAGGAUGUUGUAGAAAAUGAGAAGGGAGAGGUGGAAUAUAUACCCCCGAGAUAAACUGGGAUGAUUCUGCAUUGGUUUGUGUGACCCUUGUUAACUUUUUUGAAAACCCUUGUAGAAAGGGGAAAAUGUCAAUUGAAGAGGAUGAUGCCGAUGAUGAUUAGAAUCUUGUUGAUGAUGUCGUUGUAAUUGAGGUCCAGAAAAUUUCUGAUGAGGCCAUGCAUAAUGCAUUUAUUCCAGUUAAAGCUUGCUAUAGACUUGUUCCAGGUAUGCUGCGGUAUAUAGCUAUGUGAUUGUGGGUGAAGGAAUUGUUGAACUGCCUGGGUCGUUGAGUUUUUAAUUUUCUUGGUAAGAAUUGUUUAGGUACAAUUUGUUGACUUGUGAGGUAUUGCGAACCGUGUAAACACAUAUGAAAAACUGUUAUGAUCA